AUUACGUUUGUCAGUAGUUUCAGGAAAGUAAAAAUUUCUUGAAAAGUGACAACAGUGCUUUCAACUAGGAAAUUCAAAGAUCAAUUUUCUUGGAUGCGUUUAUAUACUAGAAUCGACAAAUAUGUAUAAGCGUUGUAUAAAAGUGCCCACAAAUAAUCAAUCAGCUGUUGCAUCAAUAAUAUUUAACAAUGAGGAUUAAUCCUUUAAACGUUAAAAAUUUAUUAUUAGUGUAUUUUCAAACUUUACAAAUACCAAAUAACAUGACGAAUGAUAAAGAAAUUCAUUUGUUAAAAACAUUCAAACAAAUAUUGAUACAUGCUGCGAAUGAAUUUAAUGAUGUAGAUAUGAUUACUGAAGAGACAUUGGAUUUUCAUGAGGAAUAUAAAGACUGCGAUGCGAAGAUAAUCGAAGACAAAGUACAACAUCACUUUCCUGAUCCUGACGUGGCACCAGCAAAUCAGUGUACAGAGGAUAAAGAGGAAUUAAAUUUUGAAUAUAAACAAAAAGCCGUAGAAUAUUAAAGAAGUGACGAAACUUACAGAGAGAAAAUUACGCGAAUUUGCCAUUAUACACUAGAUAAUUUCAAAGCUGCUGUUGAAGGUGGUUUGAUAAUUCAUGAUCGCGACAUACGUAGGUGGGCGUUACAAGCAUAAAAGGAAAUAGACCCAGAAUCAAGAGAUUUAAUAUUUAAGACUUCUAAAAAUUGAUUAUUAAAGUUUAAAAAAGCUCACAGAAUCGUAUCUCGCAGAAUAAAUAAGUUUAUUACUAGAUAAACACUGGAAAGUGGUUCGGAACUUGAAACUAAAGCAGAUGCCUUUGUUGCUGAUAUUCGGUCGUGUAUACGAAAAAUUUGAAUUCAGAAUUUAUGUAAUUCAGAUCAGAGUGGAUAUCGAUUAGAAAUGCACUCUGGAAGGACAUUUUCAGUCGAAGGCGAGAAACAAGUGCAAUCCCUGGUACAGUCAGUGUCAUCGACCACACACAGUUACACCAUGCAGCCACUUAUAGUAGCUACGGGACAACUACUAACACCCCUUUUUUUAGUGUUAAAAUAAAAGUCUGGUUAGUUUGGUUCUAUUGUAGAAGCUAAUUUAUUUUGACCAGAAAAUGUGUGUGUAGUGUCAUCCAAAUCUGGGAAAUUAACUACAGGUCGUCAGUCUGUACUAUUACUUGAUUCUUGGAGUGGUCACUGUGAUAAAAUUAUCGAGAAAACAAUGCCAGAAAAUGAAAUUGUUAACGUGAAAAAAAUACCAACAGGAACAACCAGAAAAAUCCAACCACUUGACGUAUAUGGGCUCCGCACCUGGAAAAACAUCGUUCGGCAAUUUUCAGAUCAAGUGAUUUUAAUGGAUUAUGACUUAAAUUUACAUUUAAGAAACAACAUUAUCAAACUUUAAUCUUUAGUACACAACCAACUUUCCUCACCGAGAUAUAAUAAUAUUUUUAAAUACGCUUGGUAUAAAAGCAACUAUUUAGAUGAUAAUCCAGAAAAAGUAGAAAAUUCUGUUGAUUUUAUAUUUGGAGAUUCCUGCAACACACACUGCGAAAUAGAAGGAUGCUCGAAUACAGCUAUUAUACGAUGUGGUUGGUGUAAAAACUAAUUAUGCUUUAAACAUUUUUAUGAAGAUUAUCAUUAUUGUCGACGCUAUGAAGAAUAAUAUAGUGUAAGAUAACUCUAGAGGAGAAGGUAUAGUUUUGUGAUUUGAUCAGUUGCGGAUUUUCUAUUAAUAAU